rnacentral:tRNA from 1 species
GUGGCUUAAUGGUAAAGUGCUUGCCUUGCAUGCAUGAAGGCCUGGGUUCAAUUCCUCAGC